AUUGAGUUAAAACUAAUAGAAACUUUAUAAAAAAGUGAUUUAAGUUCGAUACACUCAAAGAACCCGCGAAAUCAAGUUAAACAGAUGAUUCAGAUCACCCGAGGGCCAUCGAUUGACAGAAUUCUUCAUACACAGGAGCUUAAAUUAAACAAUAAAAAAGAUUAAUAAAUUGCAAGAUGUAUCGUAGACUGCAAAAUUUUUGUCUAACGAAGAACGGAGAGAAAGAAGAAAAAUUGAACAAAAAAAAGGAUUAAAUUAAACAAAAAACAAACGAAGGAAUUAAGAUUAGCAAUUCGUUGAAUCUAUUGGCCUUUUCUCAUUGCAAGAAACAAGGACAAUUACUUUUUCUUUUCUCCCCCUAUUCCUUUCCUAUUUCUUAAACUUUUAUUAAACGAAAUGUUUUUUUUAUGUUAAUAUGUUGCCACUGUAUGUAACAUUAUAAGCGAGGAAAGCUCAGUAAAAGCCAGUGUUAUAUUCUA